GCGGCAGCACAAGGGAGUUUACUUCUGAGGUGGCGAGCGGCGGACGGGUGAGUAAUGCCUGGGAACUUGCCCAUUCGAGGGGGAUAACAGUUGGAAACGACUGCUAAUACCGCAUACGCCCUACGGGGGAAAGAGGGGGAUCUUCGGACCUCUCGCGAAUGGAUAGGCCCAGGUGGGAUUAGCUAGUAGGUGAGGUAAAGGCUCACCUAGGCGACGAUCCCUAGCUGUUCUGAGAGGAUGGACAGCCACACUGGAACUGAGACACGGUCCAGACUCCUACGGGAGGCAGCAGUGGGGAAUAUUGGACAAUGGGGGAAACCCUGAUCCAGCCAUGCCGCGUGUGUGAAGAAGGCCUUCGGGUUGUAAAGCACUUUCAGUGGGGAGGAAAGGCUGAUGGUUAAUACCUAUCAGCUGUGACGUUACCCACAGAAGAAGCACCGGCUAACUCCGUGCCAGCAGCCGCGGUAAUACGGAGGGUGCAAGCGUUAAUCGGAAUUACUGGGCGUAAAGCGUGCGCAGGCGGUCUGUUAAGCGAGAUGUGAAAGCCCCGGGCUCAACCUGGGAACUGCAUUUCGAACUGGCAGACUAGAGUCUUGUAGAGGGGGGUAGAAUUCCAGGUGUAGCGGUGAAAUGCGUAG
rnacentral:rRNA from 1 species